AGCAGCAGCGUUACGGGCUUGUAGCUUGAUCUCGUCGGAUCGCAGAAGCGGAGCAAGGCUGCACCUGGUCAGUACUGGGAUGGGAGAUCUCUUAGGAAAAACCAGGUUGCUGCUGUAA
rnacentral:rRNA from 1 species